GCUGUUCGCAUGGGGGUGACUGUUAUCAGGACCACUGUGUGCUGAGAGAUGCAAAAAGAAAUGGGAUUUUUUUUAAAGCACAGAUGCGAGGCAAAUUGUUCGGCCUGUGCCCAUCCCUAGAAUACAUCCCAAAGGGCUUGAUACAUAGCUAUCAACUUACAGAUUUGAAAAUAAGGGACCAGCAGCCAAAAUAAGGGAUUUUCUGGCCACAGGUAUGUUCAACUUCUGAGCUCCUCCGAGCCAAAGGCAGAAAGCCCAGCCAGCAGCCAAACAAAGCCUCAAGCGGUGGUUCCCACAGCGCAGCAACCCAGCAAAGGGGAUGCAGCAAGGAAAACCACCAUCACCUCUCCGCUGGGAAGCACUGAGCAAAGGCGAGUCCCCAGGCAAUGCGGCCGAUUUGAUCGGCACAAGGCAUGCAAGCUCCACCCCCCAGUCGUUCUUAGACUCCUUAUUGGGUGAGCAAUGCAGCCAAGCAACACAGUUGGAGCCUCCCUCCUCCCUGGCCGGCAGGGAGGGAGGGAGAGGAGCUGCUUCCUUUGAAACCUGGGAAAUUUAAGGGACAUCAUCAAUAAGGGACAGCAGCGGGACACAGCUGGGAUAAGAGACUGUCCCUCCAAAUAAGGGACGCUUGACAGCUAUGUCUUGAUACGAUCUCCUGUUGUCAUGUUUCAGAAAUCAGAAAGAUCUUUGGUCUGCACAUGAAAGUUCACAUAAAGGGACUACCCAAUUCAUAUCGGUGAAAAGAAAAGCUCUUUACAUGGGUGGACUGCAUAUGUUGAAUAUUUUCUGCUUUGAAAUGAAUUGAGCAACCCCCACAAAUGUGACACACCUGUUGCCCGAGAGCAGGAAAACUUUCCCAUGUCCAUCUUAAACUGAACACAUUGAUCCUUGCUGUGUCUGCUUUCACUGUAUAAAUAAUAAAUAAUGUAAAAUUGAAUUUAUAAUCUUUAGGGACCAUAUUUUUCUCUCUACGUUCAAGAUAGAGUAGUUUUUUUUAAAAAAAAAUCAUAACUUUUUAUUGAUCUAUUUCUUCUUUUAAUGUUUCUAACACAGCAAUCCUACAUUCACAUUCUGUGAAAAUAACACACCACAGUUAUGCUGGUGUAACAGCUGUUCUAUCCACUCAGCUUGGGAAAGGAGGGGAAAAGAUGAUAUAAUAAUAAUAAUAAAAUUAAUAAACGUAUUAUUUAUACUCCACCUAUCCGGCUGGGUUUCCCCAGCCACUCUGGGUGGCUCCCAACAGAAUAUUAAAAACCCAAUCAAACAUUAAACACUUCCCUAAACAGGGUUGCCUUCAGAUGUCUUCUAAAAGUCAGAUAGCUAUUUAUCUCCUUCACAUCUGAAGUUCCACAGGGUGGGUGCCACUACAGAGAAAGCCCUCUGCCUGGUUCCCUGUAACCUCACUUCCUGCAGUGAGGGAACUGCCAGAAGGCCCUUAGAGCUGGACCUGUGUCCAGGCUGAACAAUGGGAUGGAGAUGCUCCUCUAGGUAUACUGGGCCAAGGCCAUUUAGGGCUUUAAAGGUCAGCACCAACACUUUGAAUUGUGCUCGGAAACAUACUGGGAGCCAAUGUAGGUAUUUCAGGACUGGUGUUAUACGGUCCCUGCAGCCACUCUAGCUGCCACAUUCUGGUUUAGUUGUAAUUUCUGGGUCACCUUCAAAGGUAGCCCCAUGUAGAGUGCAUUGCAGUAGUCCAAGCAGGAGAUAACCAAAGCAUACACCACUCUGGCGAGACAGUUUGCGGGCAGAUAGGGUCUCAGCCUGUGUACCAGAUGGAGCUGGUAGACAGGUGCCCUGGACACAGAACUGACCUGCGCCUCCAUGGACAGCUGUGAGUCCAAAAUGACUCCCAGGCUGCACACCUGGUCCUUCAGGGGCACAGUUACCCCAUUCAGGACCAGGGAGUCCUCCGCACCUGCCUGCCCCGUCCCCCCAAAACAGUACCCCCCAAGACAGUACUUCUGUCUUGUCAGGAUUCAACCUCAAUCUGUUAGCUGCCAUCCAUCCUCUAACCACCUCUAGACACUCACACAGUGUGUCAGGGCUUGGGGGAAGAAAACACAGUUGUGUAAAAAGGAUACUAGAUGACCUUCAGGUUCCUUCCAACUGUACAUUUCUGUGAUUCUACGAUACAUUUCUCGGAAAUAUUAAACAGUGUUGAACAUCAGAUGAUUUCAGCAGCCUGUUGUUCAUAUCGGUUUUCUUGAGGUUCCAUCUUAAAGUUCCGCAUGAGGAUGCUGUCAUCUAGGUAACCUAAUUCAUACAAUUUUCAGGAGGAAGCAACAUUUAGAACAAAUACUAUAAUUUGUGACCCAAAGUGUUAAUGCUGUAGCAAUUAUAAUUAUAAUUAUUUAUUAAAUUUCUACAUCAUCCUUCAUCUGAGGAUCGUGGAGCAGUUUACAAAUAGUCUGUGGUAAUUGCUACAAACAGAUUGAUACAAAAUAUCAGUACUUCUGUAAUUUGAAAUUAAGAGAUGUUGGAAACAAUUUAUGAUGGAACUUGUGGUGCUGAAAUACAUAGGUUGAAUAUAAGUAUUUGCUUCUUUUGACAAAUACAGUGGUGCCUCGCAAGACGAAAUUUAUCCGUUCCACGAGUCUCUUCGUCUUGCGGUUUUUUCGUCUUGCGAAACACGGCUAUUAGCGGCUUAGGGGCUAUUAGCGGCUUAGCGGCUAUUAAUGGCUUAGCGGCUUAGCGGCUUUAAGAAAAAGGAAACAAACUCGCAAGACGUUUCGUCUUGCGAAGCAAGCCCAUAGGGAAAUUCAUCUUGCGGAACGACUCAAAAAACGCAAAACCCUUUCGUCUAGCGAGUUUUUCGUCUUGCGAGGCAUUCGUCUUGCGGGGCACCACUGUAUACAGGGGUACUUUGGUUCUCGAAUGUCUCUGUUGACAAAUGUACUGUGCAUUUGAGUAUUUGCAGAGUUUUGAAGGGACGCGGGUGGCGCUGUGGGUUAAACCACAGAGCCUAGGACCUGCCGAUCAGAAGAUCGGCGGUUCGAAUCCCCACAAUGGGGUGAGCUCCCGUUGCUCGGUCCCUGCUCCUGCCAACCUAGCAGUUCAAAAGCACGAAGUGCAAGCAGAUAAAUAUGUACCACUCUGGCGGGAAGGUAAACGGCGUUUCCGUGUGCUGCUCUGGUUCGCCAGAAGCGGCUUUGUCAUGCUGGCCACAUGACCCAGAAGCUGUCUGCGUACAAACGCUGGCUCCCUCGGCCUAUAGAGUGAGAUGAGUGCACAACCCCAGAGUCGGUCACGACUGGACCUAAUGGUCAGGGGUACCUUUACCUUUUACUUUGAGUUUUGAAAUUGCUCAGUGGUCCCUCCUAACCUACAAUUAUAGCUUGCCGCAGUCUAGUUAGAGUUAUCAUGAAAAAUCCUAACUGGAAAACAGUUGGGAACGUCUCAGAAAUAAAUACUUUUUUUUUCAAAUUCGGAGAGCGAAUGUAACAAAAUGUAUGAAGAGAGAAUAUGAAAAAAUCCCUCAUGUUUUGUCAAUAUUUGUUCUACAUAAACUUCAUUUAUGUAAGCAUAAGAUGCUUUUAUGACUCCUGAAUAAAGUAUUUUUAUUUUAAGGCACGUAUUAAAUUGCAGAACUAAAACACUUACUAGGCAGCAGGAAAGAAAACUUUUAUGAUAAUGUAUAAUCAGAUCCUACAAAUGAACAAGGUUCAAGUAAACAUGAGAGUAUAGUAGCACGAAACUAAGACUUCCUUGGUAUUCUAAUCUCCUCCAUAAUAGAGAUAAAUAUUGUUAAAUGACCUAUAAAUUUGCAUGGGUAACAUUUUAGAGGCCUCUGCGUGGUAGAAGUCCACACCCCAAUUUAUAUACAGGUUUUUCUCUCCUAAAUCAUGUGUGACCUUUAAAAACCAUUGAAUCACUCCUGAUUUAUUGACUACUCAAGCUGAGGGACUGAAGACAGAUAUUAAAGCGCAUUAGACCUUUCUUCUCUGGAUGCUUUGUUCAAAAUAUGUUGUCAGCUAUUGAAACUACCCACUCUGGGGAGGAAAUACAUAAUCUCCCGAGGGCCAGUAUUUUCUAAUUACAUCAGGAGCCAAGCAGCUAGUUUUGCUCUAGUGAUCAAAUGGGUGCAAUGCUGCCGCUUCAAAGAGACCCAAGCGAUUUUUAAGAGUCCUUAGUUGCCUUGUAAAUAUCUUAAUUCUUUUCAGAGAUGUUUUGCCACAUAGACUAGGGCGCGUUGGAGCCCAUGCAGCAAAUCUUACAUUCUUCGGAUGGCCCAAUUGCUGCUUCCACAUAAUUCUGCCCCGCUCAAAUUCAGCAAUGUUUGAACAGGUAAAUCCCACGAGAGAGAUAAAUGGUUUGGCAAUUUCUGAUGUUCCUUUUUUUAUUUUACUUUUUAUAUGAAGUUUUAUUGGUUUUACAUAAAAUUUAUACACAACAAAUGUAACAUUUCC
rnacentral:lncRNA from 1 species